rnacentral:rRNA from 1 species
AACGAACGCUGGCGGCAGGCUUAACACAUGCAAGUCGAACGCAUCCUUCGGGGUGAGUGGCAGACGGGUGAGUAACGCGUGGGAACGUGCCCUUCAGUUCGGGAUAACCCAGGGAAACUUGGGCUAAUACCGGAUUCGUGCGAGAGCAGAAAGAUUUAUCGCUGAAGGAUCGGCCCGCGUCUGAUUAGCUAGUUGGUGGGGUAAUGGCCCACCAAGGCGACGAUCAGUAGCUGGUCUGAGAGGAUGAUCAGCCACAUUGGGACUGAGACACGGCCCAAACUCCUACGGGAGGCAGCAGUGGGGAAUAUUGGACAAUGGGCGCAAGCCUGAUCCAGCCAUGCCGCGUGAGUGAUGAAGGCCUUAGGGUUGUAAAGCUCUUUCGUCCGGGACGAUAAUGACGGUACCGGAAGAAGAAGCCCCGGCUAACUCUGUGCCAGCCGCCGCCGUAA